CCAUACAGUUUCUGCAAGAGUGCAUGCGUGCGUGCCUGCCUGGGUACAGUUCAGUGUGCAGAAGGAUUUCUCCUUGCUGUCACUCAACCUUCACUGUGAGUUCUGGUUGCUAAGUCUCCGUCCAGUCUGACGAGGACCAGCCAUCCAGAUACACACUUAGACGGAAUGUUUGCCUUCCCUUCCUCUCUCUGGAGGUGAGAUGAAGGACGAAAUGUGAGAAAAGUUAUAAGAAAGAUCCAUAGUUCACCACACUUUUGAGAAGAAAAAAAAAUGCUUCUUCAGAAGGAUCAUAAUGAAAGCCUUUUGUUAAGGAAAGAGGCCGUGAGAAUGGCUGCCUGGCACACCAGUUCUAACUUGGUGCAAAGCAUCAACAGGCUCCAGCUGAAGGACCCUCGUCAAGGGCGUUCCUCACCAGUGUUUGACUCGCCCGUGGCAUGAACACCCUCCACGCCUGCUGCUCAGCCCGCUGCACUGUGUGCUCCCCUUCCCCCCUCCCCUCAUCUACUUACAAGGCUCGUAUUCCCUUGUGCCAAUAGAGUCUUCAUUUUACAGCUAAGAACACUGCAAAGGGGCAGGCUAAGGGACUGGGAAAGUGUUCUACAGGGACAGGAACCAAGAUCUGGACCUGUUCUUGGCCGUCACCAUGUUGCUUCCUGACUCUGGAUGAGCAUCUUCCUUGGAUUUCAUGAGGAGCUCUUCGUCCUCUGUCAGUUCCACUGAAUGUUUCUGGCUGUAAUUUUAAGAAGCAGGGCCACAUGCUGUGCCAGUUUUAAGUGGGAAGUUAAAAUGUGACCUAAGGUGUCUCAGGCAAUGUCCUCUCCACUCUGCUAAUAAGCAGGGCCGGUUCUAAUUAUUUGCAUGGAAGUUGGCUCCCAAGAUAAUUCAGUGUCCGUGCGGCUCUGUUUCACCUCUACUUAUUUCCAUUACCUUGCAUAUUAGCUAUGUCACGUUGAUGGGCCUGCUGUUCCCCAGGGUGGCUAUUAUAAAUACUGGUGUUACAAUGAAACGCUUCCAGUCUUCUGGAACCUCAUUUGAACUAAGCAAGUUCUCCAUAAUGAUCAUUAAUGAUGUAUGGCUUGCAUAUAAAUGUUGGAUAUUAAUCUUUUGUUUACUUUUUCUAUGCCAUCAGACUUUUUAGAAGUUCUUUGUAAUGCUCAGCGGCCGAUGAUCAGAAUUUGGGACUUUUAGCCAAAAAAUUUCAAUGUGGCAGGUAGGUGUAGGUUUGAUUUUUAGAGUCUUGGCUGAUAGAAUCCUUCCUUUGGCAGAUAUGGCUGCUAACGAUCUGGGGACUAAUAGACUGCUGUCACCACAGCGCAAAGCACCAUUUGAGUCUCUUCUCAAGUUUAUGAAGACUGCUGUCUCACUAGUGUCAUAACUAUAUAACUGGACCCCAUAAUCUAGUCAUGAACUCUUAGAAGAAGGAAAUCAUACGUAUUUCUUUCUCGCUGGGUCGAGAUUAGGCAUAUGGUGUGCUGGGUCUGAGAGUUUAUCUGAUCUGGAUCCUUGGAUUAAAUCCUCAGAUCCCAAGCGUCAGAUUAAAAUCUACGAGAAUCCUUCGUGAUCUGAGAUACAGACUCAUCUUCCGCCACCGAGUUAGAAUGGAUGCUUGCAGUUUGUUCUACUCUGACCUUACACCAUGGAGCUAGACCGAAAAUAAAUUAGCAUUUGUGAGGAAA